CCCUUAGAUGCUCUGGGCCGCACGCGCGCUACACUGGUCGAUGCAACGAGUUUCUUUCCUUGGCCGACAGGCCUGGGCAAUCUUUGAACAUCGAUCGUUAUCGGGAUAGAUUCUUGUAAUUUUUGAUCUUAAACGAGGAAUUCCUAGUAAACGCAAGUCAUCAGCUUGCAUUGAUUACGUCCCUGCCCUUUGUACACACCGCCCGUCGCACCUACCGAUUGAAUGGUCCGGUGAAAUCUCCGGACUGGCGUGAGUCGGAGCAAUCUGACAAACACCGGAAAGUUGAUUAAACCUUACCAUUUAGAGGAAGGUGAAGUCGUAACA
rnacentral:rRNA from 1 species